rnacentral:rRNA from 1 species
AUGAACGCUAGCGACAGGCUUAACACAUGCAAGUCGAGGGGCAGCACAGGUAGCAAUACCGGGUGGCGACCGGCGCACGGGUGAGUAACGCGUAUGCAACUUACCUAUCAGAGGGGGAUAACCCGGCGAAAGUCGGACUAAUACCGCAUGAAGCAGGGGCCCCGCAUGGGGAUAUUUGCUAAAGAUUCAUCGCUGAUAGAUAGGCAUGCGUUCCAUUAGGCAGUUGGCGGGGUAACGGCCCACCAAACCGACGAUGGAUAGGGGUUCUGAGAGGAAGGUCCCCCACAUUGGUACUGAGACACGGACCAAACUCCUACGGGAGGCAGCAGUGAGGAAUAUUGGUCAAUGGCCGAGAGGCUGAACCAGCCAAGUCGCGUGAGGGAUGAAGGUUCUAUGGAUCGUAAACCUCUUUUAUAAGGGAAUAAAGUGCGGGACGUGUCCCGUUUUGUAUGUACCUUAUGAAUAAGGAUCGGCUAACUCCGUGCCAGCAGCCGCGGUAAUACGGAGGAUCCGAGCGUUAUCCGGAUUUAUUGGGUUUAAAGGGUGCGUAGGCGGCCUUUUAAGUCAGCGGUGAAAGUCUGUGGCUCAACCAUAGAAUUGCCGUUGAAACUGGGGGGCUUGAGUAUGUUUGAGGCAGGCGGAAUGCGUGGUGUAGCGGUGAAAUGCAUAGAUAUCACGCAGAACCCCGAUUGCGAAGGCAGCCUGCCAAGCCAUUACUGACGCUGAUGCACGAAAGCGUGGGGAUCAAACAGGAUUAGAUACCCUGGUAGUCCACACAGUAAACGAUGAAUACUCGCUGUUUGCGAUAUACAGUAAGCGGCCAAGCGAAAGCAUUAAGUAUUCCACCUGGGGAGUACGCCGGCAACGGUGAAACUCAAAGGAAUUGACGGGGGCCCGCACAAGCGGAGGAACAUGUGGUUUAAUUCGAUGAUACGCGAGGAACCUUACCCGGGUUUGAACGCAUUCGGACCGAGGUGGAAACACCUUUUCUAGCAAUAGCCGUUUGCGAGGUGCUGCAUGGUUGUCGUCAGCUCGUGCCGUGAGGUGUCGGCUUAAGUGCCAUAACGAGCGCAACCCUUGCCACUAGUUACUAACAGGUAAAGCUGAGGACUCUGGUGGGACUGCCAGCGUAAGCUGCGAGGAAGGCGGGGAUGACGUCAAAUCAGCACGGCCCUUACAUCCGGGGCGACACACGUGUUACAAUGGCGUGGACAAAGGGAAGCCACCUGGCGACAGGGAGCGAAUCCCCAAACCACGUCUCAGUUCGGAUCGGAGUCUGCAACCCGACUCCGUGAAGCUGGAUUCGCUAGUAAUCGCGCAUCAGCCACGGCGCGGUGAAUACGUUCCCGGGCCUUGUACACACCGCCCGUCAAGCCAUGGGAGCCGGGGGUACCUGAAGUCCGUAACCGCGAGGAUCGGCCUAGGGUAAAACUGGUGACUGGGGCU